UUCACCUGGAGGGGGAGAGGAAAGGGUCAGUUCAGGAUUAGGGAUCCAUUGCACUUUUCACACUACUGAGCCUAGCUAAACUGAGUUUAGCAGUACUGGCCUGAUUAUACAUUUAACAUAGCGCUGAAAAGGACAAUGUGAAAAGACAUAUCAGAGCCAGCACGGUACAGUUUGGUAAGAUAGUGUGUAAAGGGUGCCAGCUUUACUUGUAGUACCAGGCACCAAACAGUCAGAGAUCUGCUUUGUUAAAUGUCUGCUGUUAAGAAGGGAGAUAGAUGGGUGGCAUUAACACUUCUAUGAUUAUCCUGACAGAGAGACAGAAAACGGCUAAGUAGAUCUAAGUAGUCUGCUUUGCCCUUAAAAGCUAAAAGGGUUUAUCUAAUGUGUGGUUGAUGAUUAAUUGUGCAACGCUAUCUUGUUGGGCCGGAUUGAGGAAGUUGGGGGAUGGGGUGUGUUUGCUAUGUGUAACCACGUCUACUUCACCCACCAACUACAUACAGCCUGGCAUUCAAUGGGCAAGGCAGGAAGACACCACGCACUACUGAAAGACGAUUAAAAUUACCAUUAGAAAACAAGCGGAAAGCUAGGGCCAAACCGAAUCCCUUGUUUUUUUGUAGAAGAGGUGAAAUUACAUAACUUAUGGCUAAACAUUUUCAAAGUCUUCGAUUAAAAAACAUCGUUAAUCAUAUGGUUAUAGGCCAUGGAUAAUUUGGCAGUGCAAUGCAGAGGCCACCGAAAAACAAAUCUCCCUGUAAUUGACACCAGAUGUUUAACCACGAUGUUUUGCAUAAAUUGAUACUGUGUGUCCACGCUUGAGCGAAUGCAAACUCUUGGGAAGUACGCUGCAACAUCUGUAUCAAUUUGAUAAUUUCUACGAAAAGCGAAAUCCUGUCUGUUUAUAAUGCUUUUAGACUGCCCAAAUAGUUCACAUCCACCGUGCAGGCAGGUACACGGUAGCCAUUGCUGACAAGUAUGCUAACCUAGUUCCACUUGUCUAGGCAUGCAUCGAUUAUAUCAGGUAAGUUGCAGAAUGCGAAAAAUAUGCAAUUAACAUGCCCUCAUUAUUCGAAUAGGUUCGUGAGAUCUACCGCCAAACGCAGACAGAGGAAAUGAAGCAGAACUAUAUGACUUCCGUCCCCAUUUUCGGGAUCAGACGCUUUGCCUCUCCAAAUGGAGGAAGCAGUCGCCUAGAGUUCAACACUGUCCUCUGCUGAGCUGCGUGAAAUGCUUGGAGACAGAAAUGACAGCAACGUAACGGUUACAUAUUCCUUGCAAUUUCAUUGGGCGAGGUGAGUUUGAGGUUGCAGUAAUAACGAAAGGAAAAGGGUGUGGGCUUCAAGUCGUUUUUUUUAUUUACUUCUUCUUUUUUUUUCUUUUUUUUUACAAAUGCCAUGAAUUUAACAAAGUAUUGGAAUGUGAAUGCCCUGCAAAUGGUUAGGAUUUCUGACUUGUCUUAGUAAGACUGCAUUGUUGUGAAUGUUUUUUUUUUUUCAUCAGUCAGGGGAAAACUAUACCUGGAGCAGUGGCCACCUGUCAUGUUCUCUAGUUGUUUUGUGCUUCACGUGUUUAGCCAAAUAUAUAUUUUAUCUGUUUAAAAGUUUGGGGCCACUUGGGGUCCUUGUUUUUUGAAAGAAAAGCAAAACAUUUUGUCCAUUAAAAUAACAUCAAAUUGAUCAGAAAUACAGUGUAGACAUUGUUAAUGUUGUAAAUGACUUUUGUACUGGAAACGGCUGAUUUUUAAUGGAAUGUCUACAUAGACCUACAGAGGCCCAUUAUCAGCAACCAUCACUCCUGUGUUCCAAUGGCACGUUGUGUUAGCUAAUCCAAGUUUAUCAUUUUAAAAAGCUAAUUGAUCAUUAGAAAACCCUUUUGCAAUUAUGUUAGCACAGUUAAACUGUUGUUCUGCUUAAAGAAGCAAUAAAACUGGCCUUCUUUAGACCAGUUAAGUAUCUGGAGCAUCAGCAUUUGUGGGUUCGAUUACAGGCUCAAAAUAGCCCGAAACAAAGAACUUACUUCUGAAACUCGUCAGUCUAUUCUUGUUCUGAGAAAUGAAGGCUAUUCCAUGUGAGAAAUUGCCAAGAAACUGAAGAUCUCGUACAUCGCUGUAUACUACUCCCUUCACAGAAAAGCGCAAACUGAAUCUAACCAGAAUAUAAAGAGGAGUGGGAGGCCCCGGUGCACAUCUGAGCAAGAGGACAAGUGCAUUAGUGUCUAGUUUGAGAAACAGACACCUCACAAGUCCUCAACUGGCAGAUUCAUUAAAUAGUACCCGAAAAAAAACAGUCUCAACAUCAACAGUGAAGAGGCGACUCCGGGAUGCUGGCCUUCUAGGCAGAGUUCCUCUGUUCUUUUGCCCAUCUUAAUCUUGGCCAAUAAAAAGAAAAGAUUAAGAUGGGCAAAAGAACACAGACACUGGACAGAGGAACUCUGCCUAGAAGGCCAGCAUCCCAGAGUUGCAUCUUCACUGUCAAGAAUCACAAGCAAUGGACAUUAGACUGGUGGAAAUCUGUCCUUUGCAUUAAUGAGUCCAAAUUUGAGAUUUUUGGUUCCAACGCUGGGUCUUUGUGAGACGCAGAGUAGGUGAACAGAUGAUACACGCAUGUGUGGAUCCCACCGUGAAGCAUUGAGGAGGAGGUGUGGUAGUGUUUUGCUGGUAACAAUGAUUUAUUUAGAAUUCAAGGAACACUUAACCAGCAUGGCUAACACAGCAUUCUGCAGCGAUACGCCAUCCCAUCUGGUUUGUGCUUAGUGGGACUAUCAUUUGUUUUUCAACAGGACAAUGACCCAACACACCUUCAGGCUGUGUAAGGGCUAUUUGACCAAGGAGAGUGAUGGAGUGCUGCAUCAGAUGACCUGGCCUCUGCAAUCACCCAACCUCAACCCAAUUGAGAUGGUUUGGGAUGAGUUGGACCACAGAGUACAGGAAAAGCAGCCAACAAGUGCUCAGCAUAUGUGGGAACUCAUUCAAGACUGUUGGAAAAGCCUUCCAGGUGAAGCUGGUUGAGAGAAUGCCAAAAGUGUGCAAAGCUGUCAAGACAAAGGGUGGCUACUUUGAAAAAUCUCAAAUUUAACUUUUUUUUGGGGGUUACUACAUGAUUCCAUGUGUGUUAUUUCAUAGUUUUGAUGUCUACACUAUUAUUCUACAAUGUAGAAAAUAGUAAAAAUCAAGAAAAACCCUUGAAUGAGUCAGUGUGUCCAAACCUUUGACUGGUACACACAUUUUAUAUAUAAAAUAUUUUGGGGGGCAUUAAUAUGUGCCACAUAUCAGUUUGCAAACAAUGUAUAAACUAACAAUUAUUGAGUUAAUAAAGCUGCAUACAUA